UAAUUCUUCUAGCCAUUAUGUUUAAUGUUCCCCAUGCCAUGCUAGAUAGGUUAUGAACCUUGGAAAAAUCAAAGUUACAUGUAUUCAUAGUAAAACAUAGAUCCAAGGUUUUAGGGUUGUAUGAACACCUUAGGAGUGUUAGAUUGCUCAAAACCCAACAGUGGUAUCAGAGCCUAGGAUUGUUUUCUUGAAUACUUGAUGCAAAAUGUUGAAAGGUCGCAAAAUUGAACUGUUUGGGCAGUGGACUCGCCAAGUCCAUGGGGAGACUCUACGAGUCCAAGCACAAAUUCAUCCUACUUGUCAAGUAGGUUCAUGCACUCGACGAGUAGGAGACACAAAAUGCGGUUUUUCGACUUUUGCUGCUGGAAAUGGACUAGAAACAUUACCCUAAACUGUUUUGAUGUUUUAAAACAUGUUUUAGAUGGUGUAAUGGUUGUUCUAAUCCAUUUACAAUGGCUAAUAUCAAAAUUCCAUGUUUAUAUGUGUUCAUAUGUUCUUGAAAUUUUGAUAUGAAGAUUCAUGUUCUUAUGAGUUAUUGUUAGAUCAUAGGAAUUACUUGCUAAAUUGUUUAAUGAUUAAUUCUUGAUCAAUUAUGUGUUUUAAUGGAAUCCAUAAUUUGUCCUCAAGUUAUGGAUUUCCAAAGGUCACAUAUUUUAAUGAGCAUUUAAACACAUAAGUUACAUAAAAAUGAAGAGUCUUCACUUUUAUGAACCCUUAACUCAUAAGUUAUGAAAUGAAAAGUUUUGAAGAGUUUCAAAACAUGCCAUCAAGUUUUGGAAUUUGUAAAGACACACACACUUUAAAUUGGAACCCUUAGGAUUAUAAAAGUUAAAAUUUAACCCUUAUACUAUUAUAAGAUUAAUGGUUAAUAUUUAUAUAUAUGUAUAAGGUUAAGUCGUUUUACCAUUAGUAGGCCUCAUUCACGAAGCCGGUCUAUAAGGGGGGGGUCUAANNNNNNNNNNGUUGUUGCCUAUAAAAUGGCAGCUUAAUGGGUGUCCACUCUCACCCACCGCUUCUUUGAUCGGUGGAGGUUCGUUAGCUGAACGGGUAGAACAACGACUUUAAUUAUCAUUAAAAGUAUAAUAAUUAUUAUAAAUUAUCUGAAUGUUUUAGUAAUUCCCAAUCUUAGUUACUUUAGGAAAAUGUGAAUAUGGUGUUAACGCAUGAAAUUCACACUUUGUACCUUACCAAGUCGUUGGUGGAGCGUGUGUGGUUCACCGGCACACUAACUUAGACAAGUAAGGACAACAAAGGAUGACUUAAUGUUUAUCAUAGAUUAGUGGAGCAUGUGUGGUUAACCGGCACAUCGAUUAGGUGAUAAUAUUAAGGGUACCAAGUGAAUUUGCAUGGUUAUUCACACCUUGUUUUGUGAUCCUCGGCAUCCCAGUCACAAAAGUUGAAGGGAACAUUCGAGAUUGAAACAUGCCAUUGAAAAGUUCAAUGAAUAUCAAAAGAAUCUAGGAAUUUCAAUGCAAUUAAACCUAAUAAUUCAUUUCGUUUUCAUGGUGGAAAUUGGUGAAUCGUUAUUCACCUACCUUUAAAUAUGUUAUAGCUUAGACUACGUCAUCCCUCUUCUAAGUUAUAAUUUAUUGUGUUGGGUCAUAGCAUAUUACAUUUGGGUGUCUUAUUAAGGACUCUAUUUAUUCUUUUCAGAUGUCUUCCAACAAUGCUUUGGGUUCUAACCCUACCGGCUCCUUCUCUCUCAUGAACCUUUGUAGGAGAGUCAUCUUCGAUGGCUCCUACUUUAUGGAUUGGAUCCGGAACAUCAGGAUGGUCACUCGUUAUGAGGACAAGGAAUAUGUCCUCGACAAGGAGCUUAAGGAUCUUGAGCCUACUACAACUCCUGAGGAGGUCGUUGCAUAUGAGGCACAUGAAAGAGAUGCUACGAAAGUGGCAUGCAUCAUGAUGGCCACUAUGACAGCCAAGCUCCAAAAGUCCUAUGAGGACUACUAUCCUUUUGAGAUGCAACUGGAUUUGAUGGACCGCUACUAUUAAACUGCUCGUCAAGAGUGAUAUGAAAUCAUAUCCUCCAUGAUAACAACCCAAAUGAAGGAUGGUGAACCCAUCACGGGCCACAUGCAGAAAAUGAAAAUUUAUGUGGACCGUUUGCAGAAAUUGAAUGUGAACAUCCCUGAGGAGUUGCCAAUUGACAUCAUUUUUCACUCCUUACCUUCGUGUUAUGAACAAUUCCGCACGAAAUACCACAUGAAAAAGGAGGAAGUCACACUCAACAGGCUUCAAGGACUUCUAAAGACUGCCGAAAGUGGUCUUAAAGGUAAGUCGGUUAUUACUAGUCCUACUCCUACAGCUACCCCUGUUUUGGCUAUCGGUCAAGGCAAAGGGAAGAAGAGGAAGACCUGUUCGAAGGGCACCAAAGGAAAGUCCCUUGAUGGCUCCUCAUCAAGUGGAACCAAAGGUGGUUCUGCUACUCCUUCUGCCAUCCUUAAGGAUGUUGAAUGCUUCUAUUGCCAGAAUAAGGGGCAUUGGAAGCGAAACUGCUCAAAGUACUUGCAGGAUGUCAAGGAUGGGAAAGUGAAACCAUCCCAUGCAGGUAUUUACACUAUAGUUUCUAAUAACUCACCAUAUUCUAAUUCUUGGGUUCUUGAUACAGGUUGUGGUACUCACAUAUGUUGUGAUUUGCAGGGAUUAAGAAGAAGUGAGGAUGUGGAGCAAGGAAAGAUAAACUUAAUCAUAGGGAACAAGAAGGUUACACCUGUUACCAAGAUUGGAGUUUAUACUUUGUUGCUAGAUAGUCGGUUAAAGUUAGAUUUGAAUAAAUGUGUUUACUCGUCUGAAAUGACGAGGAAUAUUAUUUCCUUUCAUAGUUUGUACAAACAAGGGUUUACCUUUUCUUUUGAUAAUGAAAUUGGUAGUAUUAAUGCUUUCUUUAAUAAUGUUCCUUAUUUUAAAGCAUUACCUUGUGAUGGUGUGUAUGAAACUGUGUCGGUUGUAGAUAACCUAGGAAAUAUUAUGUUGUGUAUUGAUUUUUCUACUAGCUUGGAUAAAGCAUCAUUGUGGCAUUGUCGUCUUGGACAUGUAAACAAGAAACACAUAGGCCAACUCCAAAAGGAUGGAGUCUUGGUGUCAUUUGACCUAAAGUCAGAUGAUAGUUAUGAAUCUUGUUUGCUUGGAAAAAUGACAAAGUCACCCUUUACUGGUUCGUGUGAAAGGGGUGAGGGUUUAUUGGACCUUAUACAUACCGAUGUAUGUGGACCCUUCAAAACCACCACAAGGGAUGCUUAUCGCUACUACCUGACUUUUACUGAUGAUUAUAGUAGAUAUGGGUAUGUCUACUUAAUCAAGCAUAAGUCAGAAACUUUUGAUAGGUUUAAAGAGUUUAAACCAGAAGUAGAAAUCAAUUAGGCUGGAACAUUAAGAUGCUUCGAUCCAAUCGAGGUGGUGAGUAUCUUAGCACAUAUUUCCUCGACUAUCUUAAGGAGUGUGGGAUUGUCUCACAAUUGACACCUCCCAGGACACCUCAGCUGAAUGGUGUGGCUGAAAGGCGUAAUCAGACCUUGCUGGACAUGGUUCGCUCUAUGAUGAUUCGAGCUUCGCUACCAAUCUCUUUUUGGGGGUAUUCCUUAGAGACUGUCACCCAUAUCCUUAAUAUGGUCCUACAAAGAAGGUUGCUAAAACAUCUCAUGAGAUGUGGACUGGGAAUGUUCCUAUCUUGGACCACAUCAAGAUUUGGGGCUGCGAGGCUUUUGUGAGACGCAAGAAUAAAGAUAAGAUCGAACCUCGAAGUGAGAGGUGUAUUUUCAUCGGCUACCCACGAAAAUCCUUUGGUUACCUCUUCCCAGUAAGAAUGUGGUCUUUGUGGCAAGGAGAGGAGUAUUUCGUGAACGAGAGUUCAUGAGCCAAGGAAACAGUGGGAGGCAAAUUGACCUUGAAUAAAUUCAAGAUUCGAGUGGUGAAGGAACCUCAAAUCCUAGCAAUCAACCUGAGGAGGAAACACCUAUUGACCCGACUGACGAGUCCGUACCUCUGAUGCAUUCCACGAGAGUUAGGAAUGCACCUGAGCAUUACUAUGGUUUCCAUAUUACUGCGGAAGGUGACACACUUAUCAGUGAUAGUACACUGGUAAAUCUGGAUGAGCCUAACAGCUACACAAAAGCCAUGGUAGGCCCAGAGGCUGCUAAAUGGAAAGAGGCUAUGGACAGUGAGAUACUCUCCAUGUAUGAAAAUCAAGUUUGGAACUUGGUUGACAAUGUACCAGGCCGUAAGACAGUCGGAUGAAAGUGGAUCUUCAAGAAGAAGACCGACAUGGAUGGUAAUGUACACACUUAUAAGGUGCAACUGGUUGCAAAGGUUUUUUCUAAAACUCCCGGAGAUGAUUAUGAUGAGACCUUUUUAACAGUAUCAAAGAUUAAAUCUAUUAGGGUUAUGUUAGCUAUUGCUGCCUUUCAUGACUAUGAAAUAUGACAAAUAGAUGUCAAAACCGCUUUUCUUAAUGGGAAGUUGGCUGAGGAUGUUUACAUGAGUCAGCCAGAGGGUUUUGUUAGUACAGAGCACCUGAAUAGAGUGUGUAAGCUUGAGAAAUCCAUCUAUGGAUUGAAACAUGCACCUCGCAGAUGGAAUCUUUGUUUUGAUGAGAAAGUCAAAGAGUUUGGUUUUUCAAGAAGAGAAGAUGAGUCUUGUGUUUAUGUCAGAGCUAGUGGGAGUAUAGUUAGCUUCUUGGUGCUGUAUGUGGAUGACAUACUGCUCAUAGGAAACGACAUCCCAACUUUGUAGGGAGUGAAUUCCUGGCUUGGGAAGUGUUUUUCUAUGAAGGACCUUGGAGAGGCUGCCUCUAUCCUAGGAAUAAGGAUAUUAAGAGACAGGAGUAAAAGACUAAUUGGACUUAGUCAGAGUACCUACUUGGAUAAGGUGUUGAAAAGGUUUAACAUGCAAAAUUCCAAGAAAGGAGAAUUACCGAUCCAAAGCAAUGCCAAUCUGAGCAAGACUUAGAGCCCAAUUACAGAGGCUGAGAUAGCUGAGAUGAGUCGAUUGCCAUAUGCUGCUAUUGGCUCGAUCAUGUAUGUUAUGACUUGUACCCGUCCUGGUGUGGCCUUUGCUUUGAGCAUGGUCAGUAGAUAUGAGGGGAUCCAUGUCAAGGCUCAUUGGACUGUGGUAAAGAAUAUUCUCAUGUAUCUACGAAGGACUAAGGAUUGGAUUAUUACCCUUGGUGGGAGUGAUGACUUGAGAGUAGUAGGGUAAACUGAUGCUAGUUUCCAGACUGAUAGGGAUAACUUCCGCUCUCAUUCGGCCUGGGUCUUUAUCCAAAAUGGAGGGGAAAUCACUUGGAAGAGUUCUAAGCAGGAGACAGUAGCUGAUUCGACUUGUGCAUCAGAGUACAUUGCAGCGAGUGAAGCGGAAAAGGAGGCGAUAUGGCUAAAGAACUUCAUCGGACACCUUAGAGUUGUACCAGCUAUUAAGGAGCCUAUGGAGAUUUUUUGUGACAGCAAUAGUGCAGUUUCCUUAGCCAAGGAACCGAGAGAUCAUGGCAGAUGCAGACACAUUGACAGAAGAUAUCACUAUAUAAGACACAAGAUAGAAGAAGGAAUCCUUGUGGCAAAGAGGGUAUCAUCAGAAGAUAAUCCUGCAGAUCCCCUCAUGAAGGGACUGACGAGGGUUAGGCAUUUACAUCAUGCAAGGCGCACCGGGCUGAAGGAUGAUAUUAGUUUUACAGAUUAGAUAGCUAUUUCUGAAACUUGUAAAAUGUAAUCGAAAUUUGAUGAUGAAUAAAAGGUGUGUUUAUUGAUGAGUAAGGUGUUACUGUCUUUUGUCAAUUAUUUACUAUUGUUUCAGCUUCACAUGUUUUGACUUCCAGAAUAAAUUACUUUAUUCAAACUUCCACAGUCGGUCAUAUGUCGGAAGUAGGUAUGAACUAAGACUGUCAUGAAUUGGGCUUGUAUAUGACUAAAGGUGUUUAGCCAUAGCAAUGGUUGCUACAACAUUCAUGAGUGCUCAUAAGUUCUGAAUAUUGGAAUAAACCCAAGCUUACUGGCAUCACUUCAUGGAAUUUAUCUUCAGUGAUCGUGAGACGGUAAUAUCAUAUAAGUCUUCAAACCUAGAGAUAUGAUUUGUUGCCUAUGAGUUGGUUAUACAUUAAUUGUACGUAAACGCAUUGGUAACUCAAUGUUAUAAAACAUGCCUUUAUGUAUAAUUCAACAAGUAGUAGAACAAGCAUAUGAGUCGAAGUUUAUCUGUUCCUUCUUGGAUUAGAAGCGAUAUCUGGGCCCCUCGAUGAUUUUGUGUUGACCCAUGUAUCGGGCCCGAUCAGAACUAAGUUGAUGUGUUCAAUUAAGUUCUAUGUCAAACAAAUCAGGAAAUCAAGAAACCAACUGCUAGACAAUAAGUAAGACAUUGCUCCAUGUAUUUUUUCCAACUGAUAUCUAGAACAGAGGAUUAUAUGUUCACUUAUCUAAAAUGGCGCUUCAUAGUUCAAAAAUGUUUUGAGAGCUACGAUUGCCGGUUGGUUCCUGAAGUAAUAUAGGCAAAUAUAUUUAUUAGACUUAUCCAAGUGGGAGACUAUUGGAUAAGGCGUCUAAGUCCAUAACUUUAUUUGGUAUAUAGGCAAAUAUAUUUAUUAGACUUAUCCAAGUGGGAGACUAUGGGAUAAGGCGUCUAAGUCCAUAACUUUAUUUGGUAUAUACUUGACCCGACCCGACAUGGUCCAUUUGGGUUGCACUUCACCUGAACUAUUUAUGGUUAAACCUGUGAGAAUUGUAUGUUUAUGAUAUCUUAAAAUAUUAUAAGUUAUAACAUAUUAAUAUGAAAUCAUAUUAUUUAGUUAGUAUUGAUCAUCAAUUAAUUUAGAAUUAAUUUGGUGAUCAAAAAGGUGACUAAUUAAAUAUGGGCUCUUGUAUUUAUAUAAGUGUGGGAUAAUACUCAUUUGGAAUGGGCUUGGCAUUCAUGUGAGUCCAUGGAUAGUCCAUCGAGAUUUUAAUCCAUGGAUCCUUGUAAAGGAAGAGUCAUGGGUAUUAGGGUUUACAUGGAUGUAACCCUAAUCCUCCACACUAUAUAAAGGAGCUUGUGAUGCUUGAAAUUGCACUAGUUGUGUGUGAAAAAGGCGGUGGCCGAUUUCUAUAAGCUUCAUACACUCUCAUAAGGUUUUUCCAAGUUUAUGGUGAUUUGUGAUUUCCAUUUGAGGCAUCCACAUUAUUGGUGCUAGGCUCUCAAACUCCAAGGAAUCAACUCACAACAAAAGGUAUGUAAUUCUUCUAGCCAUUAUGUUUAAUGUUCCCCAUGCCAUGAUAGAUAGGUUAUGAACCUUGGAAAAAUCAAAGUUGCAUGUAUUCAUAGUAAAACAUAGAUCCAAGGUUUUAGGGUUGCAUGAACACCUUUGGAGUGUUAGAUUGCUCAAAACCCAACAAAUUCUCUUUGCAUGUUGCAAAUGCUUAACUCUAAUCAGUCCCUUCGUGAGGGGAUCU
rnacentral:lncRNA from 1 species